AUUUCUCUCACCGUGAAAUCUGCACCGACUACAAAUUGCUGUUCCGAUCGAGAAUUGCAGUCAUUUGCUCCGAUUGUGAUCAAGUACAUCCAUUCCAAGCUUCAAGAGAACGAACCCACCAUUCGUUCCCCCACAAAGAGAGAGAGAGAGAUUUUGCAUUGUUCUUGAACUCUCCCAUUCAGUGGCUCGCGCCUCUCUUACUCUCUUCAGUUGUAAGACUAAGUUAUUCUUCUCUCCCUGAUUAUUACUAUUAUUUGAAUGUUGGGUUGAAUUGGUUUGUUGGAGUUGAACUGGAAGUAUUUUUUUUUUUCUAAUUCAAGAGUCUGGGUUUGACUGGGUUAGAAGACUUUUUGAUGGUACUACGUCUAUGUAUUUAGAUUGAUGCUUAGUUUAUGAAUUUUAAUUACCUUCCAUGUUUAGCUGCAUGUAGAUAUGUUGAUUAGCUGGGUCUUUAUAAUCAAAUACCUUUUAAUCAUCUCAUAUGCGUCUUCUUCUAGAUUUGUUAUUUGUUUAGCAGUUUAGCUGCAUUUAAUUCAUGUUGUUUUUAGUUGUCUUGUUUAUACCUCUAUAUACCUGAUUUGAUUAUAAAUUUGUGAUAUCAUGAUAUUUAGUCUGAUGUAAUGAGAUAAUAUAUACGCAUGUUGGUGAUGGCGUCAAAUGAGAUGAGGCCUCAAGUGGCGACUCUAGCGGAAGAAAUAAGAGAAGAAAACUCAGAGAAAGGUUCGCUACCAGGAAAGGCAAGACCAAUGAAUUGACUCAUGGUAGUCCUGGAUUCCACAUUAAUCCUGGAAUUGGUGGCUGACAUUCUCAAGGAGUCACAAAAACAGAAUUUUAGUCUCAACCCCCCAAUAACAUUGGACAGCGGUGGAAAGCACCGAAUCUGUGGGGAAAUCCUUGCAAACGAGAUAAGAGGGAGACAGACAAAGGAAAUGGAAAAAGUAGACGCAAUGGAAGAGGCUAAACGUAUAAACAGAAACAAGAAAUUUACCUUUGAUCGGAAAGAUAUCACGGAAGGAUUCUAAGGUCUUAAAGUUCUUAUUUAAGAAGCCAAGGAGAGGAGGACAUGAGUCCAGGAAAGAGGUUGCCCACAGUGGUGGGGAUUUUGGGGUGUCCCUUGAGGAUAUCCAAUGUCUUUGCCCUACAAUCUCAAUUUCUUCGACGGUAUGCGAAUGUAUUAUCCGUGCCAAUUUCUUCUAAGCUAUUAUUGCACAUACAUUAUAGGGCUGUAAUCUUAACUUGAGAUGACUCAUGGUUCUUGCCUACUUUCUUUGGGGUACAAAGAAAUUACAUUGGGAAUAAUAACUCUGCUAUUGUACUUGCAUACAAACAAUGUUGAUAAUGAACGCAGUUGCAACUGAAGUAGUUGCCCCUGAAUGUGGCAGAGCGACAGGCAUGAUCCACGAGAAGCCUCCCAACAGAUGGAAAUGUUGCAGCCAUCGCAAGAGAAAAUCCCGUGUGUGAUGGUGUUUGGAAAAGUGUUGCAUUU